GGCUGCAUGGUGUAAUGGUUAGCACUUCAGAUUCUGACAACUUCCGUGUUCUGGUAACCCCGGUUCGAUUCGAUUCCGGGUGCGGCCU